CCUACGGGUGGCAGCAGUGGGGAAUAUUGCGCAAUGGGCGAAAGCCUGACGCAGCGACGCCGCGUGAGGGAUGAAGGUCUUCGGAUCGUAAACCUCUGUCAGCAGGGAAGAACGGUCACUGUGCUAAUCAGCAGUGAAUUGACGGUACCUGCAACGGAAGCACCGGCUAACUCCGUGCCAGCAGCCGCGGUAAUCCGGAGGGUGCGAGCGUUAAUCGGAAUUACUGGUCGGAAAGCGCUCGUAGGCGGUAUGUCAAGUCAAGGGUGAAAUCCCCGCGCUCAACGUGGGAACUGACGUUGAAACUGGCAAACUGGAGUGUGUGAGAGGAGAGUGGAAUUCCAGGUGUAGGAGUGAAAUGCGUAGAUAUCUGGAGGAACAUCAGUGGCGAAGGCGACUAUCUGGCACAUAACUGACGCUGAGGAGCGAAAGCGUGGGUAGCAAACAGGAUUAGAUACCCUAGUAGUC
rnacentral:rRNA from 1 species